ACGGCUCAGUAACACGUGGAUAACCUGCCCUUGGGUCCGGCAUAACCCCGGGAAACUGGGGAUAAUUCCGGAUAACGCACAUAUGCUGGAAUGCUUUAUGCGUAAAAUGGAUUCGUCUGCCCAAGGAUGGGUCUGCGGCCUAUCAGGUAGUAGUGGGUGUAAUGUACCUACUAGCCAACAACGGGUACGGGUUGUGAGAGCAAGAGCCCGGAGAUGGAUUCUGAGACAUGAAUCCAGGCCCUACGGGGCGCAGCAGGCGCGAAAACUUUACAAUGCGGGAAACCGUGAUAAGGGGACACCGAGUGCCAGCAUCAUAUGCUGGCUGUCCAGGUGUGUAAACUACACCUGUUAGCAAGGGCCGGGCAAGACCGGUGCCAGCCGCCGCGGUAACACCGGCGGCCCGAGUGGUGAUCGUGAUUAUUGGGUCUAAAGGGUCCGUAGCCGGUUUGGUCAGUCCUCCGGGAAAUCUGAUAGCUCAACUAUUAGGCUUUCGGGGGAUACUGCCAGGCUUGGAACCGGGAGAGGUAAGAGGUACUACAGGGGUAGGAGUGAAAUCUUGUAAUCCCUGUGGGACCACCUGUGGCGAAGGCGUCUUACCAGAACGGGUUCGACGGUGAGGGACGAAAGCUGGGGGCACGAACCGGAUUAGGUACCCGGGUAGUCCCAGCCGUAAACGAUGCUCGCUAGGUGUCAGGCAUGGCGCGACCGUGUCUGGUGCCGCAGGGAGGCCGUGAAGCGAGCCACCUGGGAAGUACGGCCGCAAGGCUGAAACUUAAAGGAAUUGGCGGGGGAGCAC
rnacentral:rRNA from 1 species